rnacentral:rRNA from 1 species
UACAGAGGUCUCAAGCGUUGUUCGGAUUCAUUGGGCGUAAAGGGUGUGUAGGUGGCGCCGUAAGUCGGGUGUGAAAUUUCGGAGCUUAACUCCGAAACUGCAUUCGAUACUGCGGUGCUUGAGGACUGGAGAGGAGACUGGAAUUCAUGGUGUAGCAGUGAAGUGCGUAGAGAUCAUGAGGAAGACCAGUGGUGAAGGCGGGUCUCUGGACAGUUCCUGACACUGAGACACGAAGGCCAGGGGAGCAAACGGG